GCCGACAGGGAUUUGUUUUGCACUCUUCAGACUUCCUCCUCUGCGUGUUUUCAUAAACAAACCACAGUUGUUUCUCCCGCCGGGCCCGCCGCACGGUCCUCCUGUCAGCCUGCCAGCACUGUCGGAUUCCUGCUCCUGUUUCAGCGAAGGCCGUGGAGGAACUUUGGAAGCUGGUUCGGAUUCAAGCCCGGGACGCGGGUAAACGGGCUGCAGCGACCGACCGACCGACGGACGGACGGACCGACCGACAGACCGGAGGCUGUCUGUGUUUGUCUUUGUUGUCAACGCGUGGUCGACAGUUGGACGGAGCCGACCUGCCGACCACCUACCGCUGCUGUGAACCCGCUGUCAGCCACCUUGUGUCCGCCGUGCAGACUGUGAGGAGCUUCAGUGUUAUCAGCCAUGGUGAAGCUGACAAAGGCCAAGACGUUCCAGGCUUACCUGGACUCCUGCCACCGUCGCUACAGCUGUGUGCACUGCCGCGCCCACCUGGCCAACCAUGACGAUCUUAUCUCCAAGUCUUUCCAAGGCAGCCAGGGACGAGCCUACCUCUUCAACUCUGUGUGAGUAUUUUACUGGGUUCGUACAUGUGCUGCAAAUCCUUGACAACACUUGAAUUUUCAUGUGGUGUGUUUAAGGUCUGAAAAAUGCUUAGAUUUUGUAUAAAGUCCUUGAAAUAGCGUGAAAUCUUGAUUGCAUUACAUACAUAAUAAAUCACUAUCUGACUGAAUAGUUCGCUUUUUUGAGAACCACAUAUCUCGUCUAAUUUUAAUUCAAGAGGGCCUAUGAAUGGCUUAUUUAGCUUCAGAAGUAGGAGAAUUUUCUCAACCUAUAAAGGAACACAUGUUUACCUUCAGUUUAUCAAAAAAUUCACCUUCAAAAUCACCACAAAUGGAGAUAAAUGGAUUCCACUGAAGAGAAAGGAGAGAAAAUUAAAAACAGUUUGGUGUCCCCUGCUUAGUAUGUUGCUAACAUUAGCGUGUCAGCACACUAUUGUAGAAUCCUUUUGCACACAUGUGACUACUUCAGGUAACUGAAAUAAGAUCACUAAUAAUUUAAUAAUAAAAGUGGGGAAUUGUCAGUCAAUGCAUGCAUGUAUUUACACAGCUGCAUAAAGUGACAAAUUCCCAUAAUGAUCCUGGCUUUGUUUUUAAAUGUAUUCAUUACUGUGGCUUAAAGCUUUGCUCGGUGCACAGUUUCAGAUUCAAACAAAUUUAGUGCAUGGUGUUUAUUUUGGAAACAUUUUGGAAUUGGAACCUUUUGAACUGGAUUCAGCCUUGGUUACCACGGAGAGCAUGGGUGUAUCUUUGGAACCUCUCUGACUUCAUGAACCUGCAGAAGAUAAUUCAACUUAAUUCACACAUUAACGGUAAGAAAACAUGUUUUCUUCAGCUGUUUUAUUUCUAUGUGAUGGUCUGUAGUUUAGAGGGGUGUGUCGUCAAGAAAACUUAAAUCCAGACAAACAGAUUUGGCUGCCAGAGCUUUACUGGCAGAUAGAGAACUCAAGAGCCAACCAUCAUUCAUUUACUUAAAUUACUUUACUUUACUUAAGUUGGUUGUUAAUUUUACAAUGUGAAACCUUUUAAUUUUGGUAUUUAAUGGAAUCAAUUGAUUAGCUAGUUAAAUUGUUUUGUAAAUUUACUAACUCUUGUCUUGUUGGGAAGUGGAAGAAGUGCCCUUCCUUUGCACAAGUAGCUAAAGACAAUUCAAUUGUUUUAUUGUUCCCAUUUUCCAAAUAUAACAUUAGUUCAUUUUUAAGCUAAAGUUUGAAUAUUAACCAUAAAAAAGAACUACAGCAACACUAACGUUACUUAACGUACUAUAUGGAAACUUGUGUUUUCAAGGACACUUACUAUCUUUAUUUGAUUUGGUCAGAGUCACGGAUUGAGGGAUAUCUGGUAGAAGAGAAGAGUAAUACAAGCAGCACAAUGAGUCCAUCAGCAGGGGUAAGUUUCUUUAACUUUAAAGCCACUAUGUGUGGAAUUUGAAAAUGUAACUUUACUACCUCAGCACCCGUCAGUGGUAAUUUAGUACCGUGUAAAUCAGCUCCUAGGAAACAUCUGGAGCAAAUGCUUAGGCCACAACAAAGAAAACAAAACUGUGAUCCUUAAGAUCCUUCACUGUGAUUAUUAGGCUACCAUGGUAUGGAGGCCAGAAGACAUUUUCAGGUUUCAUUACAAAGACAAAAAUAGACUUGACAAAAAGACUGUCCAUUUUGUCCUUGUUGCAGGACACCUGUUCUUGUGUCACUAGGUAGCAUUCGCCAUUUAAUAUACUUUCCAUUCGUGUGACUUGAUUCUUGUGACCAUCUCCAUCUCUGUCCUUUUUUUUUUU